UACGGAGGGUGCGAGCGUUGUCCGGAAUCACUGGGCGUAAAGGGCGCGUAGGUGGCACUCCAAGUCAACGGUGAAAGCUCGGGGCUCAACCCCGAGUCGGCCGUCGAUACUGGGGGGCUCGAGCACUGUAGAGGCAGAUGGAAUUCCGGGUGUAGCGGUGGAAUGCGUAGAGAUCCGGAAGAACACCGGUGGCGAAGGCGGUCUGCUGGGCAGUAGCUGACACUGAGGCGCGACAGCGUGGGGAGCAAACAGG
rnacentral:rRNA from 1 species